AGAGUUUGAUCCUGGCUCAGAAUGAACGCUGGCGGCAUGGAUUAGGCAUGCAAGUCGAACGAGAUUCCUGCCUUCGGGCAGGAUGACAGUGGCGAAAGGGUGAGUAACGCGUGAGUUACCUGCCCGGAGGUCGGGAAUAGCCCCGGGAAACCGGGAUUAAUACCUGAUGAGCCUUUCCCUUUAUUGGGUUUGGUAAAGCUUUUGCGCCUCCGGAUGGGCUCGCGUCCGAUUAGCUUGUUGGUGGGGUAAUGGCUCACCAAGGCUACGACCGGUAGCUGGUCUGAGAGGAUGGUCAGCCACACUGGGACUGAGACACUGCCCAGACUCCUACGGGAGGCUGCAGUCGAGAAUCUUCCGCAAUGCGCGAAAGCGUGACGGAGCGAUGCCGCGUGGGGGAUGAAGGCCUUCGGGUCGUAAACUCCUGUCACCCGGGAUGAAUUUUGAUAGUACCGGGAGAGGAAGCCACGGCUAACUACGUGCCAGCAGCCGCGGUAAUACGUAGGUGGCGAGCGUUAUUCGGAUUUACUGGGCGUAAAGGGUCCGUAGGGGGUCUGUCAAGUCCGAUGUGAAAUUUCCGGGUUUAACCCGGAAUGUGCAUUGGAAACUGACGGACUUGAGGACCGGAGAGGAGAGCGGAAUUCCUGGUGUAGCGGUGGAAUGCGUAGAUAUCAGGAAGAAUACUGAUAGUGAAGGCAGCUCUCUGGACGGCACCUGACCCUCAUGGACGAAAGCUGGGGGAGCGAACAGGAUUAGAUACCCUGGUAGUCCCAGCUGUAAACGUUGUGCACUCGGUGUGGGAGGUCCUUUUAGUCCCUUCCGUGCCCAAGCUAACGCGUUAAGUGCACCGCCUGGGGAGUACGGCGGUAACGCUAAAACUCAAAGGAAUUGACGGGGGCCCGCACAAGCGGUGGAGCAUGUGGUUUAAUUUGAGGCAUGUGAAGAACCUUACCUGGGUUUGACAUGCACCGGACCGACCUGGAAACAGGUCUCUUUUUUUGGGCUGGUGCACAGGUGCUGCAUGGCUGUCGUCAGCUCGUGUCGUGAGAUGUUUGGUUAAGUCCGGCAACGAGCGUAAUCCGUGUCGUCAGUUGCCAACAGGUAAUGCUGGGAAUUCUGACGAGACCGCCCGUGUUAAGCGGGAGGAAGGCGCGGAUGACGUCAAGUCCGUAUGGCCCUUACGUCCAGGGCUGCACACGUGCUAUAAUGGCCGGUAUAAUGGGCAGCGAAACCGUGAGGUGGAGCUAAUUCCCAAAGCCGGUCCCAGUUCGGAUUGGAGUCUGUAAUUUGACUCCAUGAAGUCGGAAUCGCUAGUAAAGGCGUAUUAGUAACGGCGCCUUGAAUACGUUCCCGGGCCUUGUACAUACCGCCCGUCACAUCAUGGAAGCUGGGUGCACCCGAAGUCGUUGACCUAACCCGUAAGGGAGGGAGGCGCCGAAGGUGUGUCUAGUGACUGGGAUGAAGUCGUAACAAGGUA
rnacentral:rRNA from 1 species